GCGAGCGCAGGCGGUUUUUUAAGUCUGAUGUGAAAGCCUUCGGCUCAACCGAAGAAGUGCAUCGGAAACUGGGAAACUUGAGUGCAGAAGAGGACAGUGGAACUACAUGUGUAGCGGUGAAAUGCGUAGAUAUAUGGAAGAACACCAGUGGCGAAGGCGGCUGUCUGGUCUGUAACUGACGCUGAGGCUCGAAAGUAUGGGUAGCAAACAGGAUUAGAUACCCUGGUAGUCCAUACCGUAAACGAUGAAUGCUAAGUGUUGGAGGGUUUCCGCCCUUCAGUGCUGCAGCUAACGCAUUAAGCAUUCCGCCUGGGGAGUACGGCCGCAAGGCUGAAACUCAAAGGAAUUGACGGGGGCCCGCACAAGCGGUGGAGCAUGUGGUUUAAUUCGAAGCUACGCGAAGAACCUUACCAGGUCUUGACAUACUAUGCAAAUCUAAGAGAUUAGACGUUCCCUUCGGGGACAUGGAUACAGGUGGUGCAUGGUUGUCGUCAGCUCGUGUCGUGAGAUGUUGGGUUAAGUCCCGCAACGAGCGCAACCCUUAUUAUCAGUUGCCAGCAUUAAGUUGGGCACUCUGGUGAGACUGCCGGUGACAAACCGGAGGAAGGUGGGGAUGACGUCAAAUCAUCAUGCCCCUUAUGACCUGGGCUACACACGUGCUACAAUGGAUGGUACAACGAGUUGCGAACUCGCGAGAGUAAGCUAAUCUCUUAAAGCCAUUCUCAGUUCGGAUUGUAGGCUGCAACUCGCCUACAUGAAGUCGGAAUCGCUAGUAAUCGCGGAUCAGCAUGCCGCGGUGAAUACGUUCCCGGGCCUUGUACACACCGCCCGUCACACCAUGAGAGUUUGUAACACCCAAAGUCGGUGGGGUAACCUUUAGGAACCAGCCGCCUAAAGGGAAAAAAAUUAA
rnacentral:rRNA from 2 species